GGGCGAUUAGCUCAGCGGUAGAGCGCCUGCCUUACAAGCAGGAUGUCGCUGGUUCGAUCCCAGCAUCGCCCA
rnacentral:tRNA from 14 species